AACUAUUAACAUUAAUACAACAAUAAACAUAUUAUAAUUACAUCUUAUAUAAACUAAUCAGUAAAAAGUGAUUAUCAUCAAUAAAAAAUAACAAAUUUCUUAUGUCGACCAACCACCACCUUCACAAUCGCCGGUAUAUCACCACCACCGCUAAAAACCACCGGAAAUCGCAUGAAACAUUCGCUGGCUACUAUUAACAACCAUCAGAUAGUGAGAUAUAGAGAGAAAAUCGAAAGAGAAAAAAAGAGAAGGAGCAAGAUUAAGAACGAGAGAAAGAGAAGUUAAAAAAAAAAAAAAAAAAUAAUACCUCGCCGGAAAUCUCUUCUAGACGACGGAAUCUGCUCUCCCGCAUUGGACCGCUAUUGGACGGCUG
rnacentral:lncRNA from 1 species